CAAAGGGCUCACGGAGGAUACCUAGGCACACAGAGGCGAUGAAGGACGUGGUUACCUGCGAUAAGUCUCGGGGAGUUGGAAGCACACUUUGAUCCGGGAAUUUCCGAAUGGGGCAACCCCUUGAACGACCAACUGAAUAUAUAGGUUGGUGCGAGCUAACCCAGCGAACUGAAACAUCUUAGUAGCUGGAGGAAGAGAAAGUAAAUAACGACUCCCUCAGUAGCGGCGAGCGAACGGGGAAUAGCCCAAACCGAUAGUCUUGACUAUCGGGGUUGUGGGACAGCAAUAUGGAUCAACAAUUCUAGAAGAAACGUUUGAAUGGCGUGCCAUAGAGGGUGAAAGCCCCGUAAUUGAAAGAUGAGUUGACCUAGCUGUAUCCCGAGUAGCACGGAGCACGUGGAAUUCCGUGUGAAUCUGCGAGGACCACCUCGUAAGGCUAAGUACUACUGUGUGACCGAUAGUGAAACAGUACCGCGAGGGAAAGGUGAAAAGAACCCCGGGAGGGGAGUGAAAUAGAACAUGAAACCGUGAGCUUACAAGCAAUGGGAGCCCGACUAAUCGGGUGACCGUGUGCCUGUUGAAGAAUGAGCCGGCGACUUAUAGGCACUGGCGGGUUAAACCGGAAAUGGUGGAGCCACAGCGAAAGCGAGUCUUAAUAGGGCGUUUGUCAGUGUUUAUAGACCCGAACCCUGGUGAUCUAACCAUGGCCAGGAUGAAGCUUGGGUGAUACCAAGUGGAGGUCCGAACCGACUGAAGUUGAAAAUUCAGCGGAUGAGCUGUGGUUAGGGGUGAAAUGCCAAUCGAACCAGGAGCUAGCUGGUUCUCCCCGAAAUACGUUGAGGCGUAGCGUCUAGUGCUCCAGCAGGGGGGUAAAGCAACCAUUUCGGUGCGGGCUGCGAAAGCGGUACCAAAUCGAUAUGAACUCUGAAUACCCUGUGUGUAACUAGGCAGUCAGACUGUGGGGGAUAAGCUCCAUAGUCAAGAGGGAAACAGCCCAGACCGCCAGCUAAGGUCCCAAAAUUAACGCUAAGUGAUAAAGGAGGUGGGAUUGCCCAGACAACCAGGAGGUUUGCCUAGAAGCAGCCAUCCUCAAAGGAGUGCGUAAUAGCUCACUGGUCGAGCGAUCCUGCGCCGAAAAUGAAUGGGGCUAAGCGUUAUACCGAAGCUGCGGAUAAAUUUAUUUAUGGUAGGGGAGCGUUCUAUGUUGGGUGAAGCGUUAGCGUAAGCGGACGUGGACGGCAUAGAAGUGAGAAUGUCGGCUUGAGUAGCGAAAACAUGGGUGAGAAUCCCAUGCCCCGAAACCCUAAGGGUUCCUCCGGCAGGCUCGUCCGCGGAGGGUUAGUCUGGACCUAAGGCGAGGCCGAAAGGCGUAGUCGAUGGAUAACAGGUCAAUAUUCCUGUACCAGUUAUGUUUUGGGAAGGGGGACGGAGAAGGCUAGCCAGGCCAGAUGUUGGUUACUGGUUCAAGCGUUCAAGGCUUUGAGAGAUGGAGAAAACAUCUUGAGCUGAGGCGUGAGUACGAGCUGCUACGGCAGCGAAGUUGGUGAUGUCAUGCUUCCAAGAAAAGCCCUAUACCCGUUAAGACAUAAAUGCCAGUACCCGAAACCGACACAGGUGGGGUGGUAGAGAAUACCGAGGGGCGCGAGAUAACUCUCUCUAAGGAACUCGGCAAAAUGGCCCCGUAACUUCGGGAGAAGGGGUGCCAGCGAGAGCUGGUCGCAGUGAAGAGGCGCAAGCGACUGUUUACCAAAAACACAGGUCUCCGCUAAGUCGCAAGACGAUGUAUGGGGGCUGACACCUGCCCAGUGCCGGAAGGUUAAGGAAGCUGGUUAGCUUUUAGCAAAGCUAGCGACUGAAGCCCCGGUGAACGGCGGCCGUAACUAUAACGGUCCUAAGGUAGCGAAAUUCCUUGUCGGGUAAGUUCCGACCCGCACGAAAGGUGUAACGAUUUGCGCGCUGUCUCGGAGAGAGGCUCGGCGAAAUAGAAUUGUCUGUGAAGAUGCGGACUACAUACACCCGGACAGAAAGACCCUAUGAAGCUUUACUGUAGUUUGAUAUUGUGCUCGGGCUCUAAUUGCGCAGAAUAGGUGGGAGACAUUGAAAUAGUGCUUGUGGGUAUUAUUGAGUCAUCGGUGAGAUACCACUCUAUUAGAGCUAGGGUUCUAACGUUUACCCGUUAUCCGGGAAGCGGACAGUAUCUGAUGGGCAGUUUGACUGGGGCGGUCGCCUCCUAAAAGGUAACGGAGGCGCACAAAGGUUCCCUCAGGCUGGUUGGAAAUCAGUCGUUGAGUGCAAAAGCAGAAGGGAGCUUGACUGUGAGACCUACAAGUCGAACAGGGACGAAAGUCGGUUUUAGUGAUCCGACGGUUCUGCGUGGAAGGGCCGUCGCUCAACGGAUAAAAGUUACUCUAGGGAUAACAGGCUGAUCUCCCCCAAGAGUUCACAUCGACGGGGAGGUUUGGCACCUCGAUGUCGGCUCAUCGCAACCUGGGGCUGAAGUCGGUCCCAAGGGUUGGGCUGUUCGCCCAUUAAAGCGGUACGCGAGCUGGGUUCAGAACGUCGUGAGACAGUUCGGUCCAUAUCCGGUGUAUGCGCAGGAAUAUUGAGAGGAUUUCUCCCUAGUACGAGAGGACCGGGAGGAACGCACCUCUGGUGUGCCAGUUAUCGUGCCAACGGUAAACGCUGGGUAGCCAUGUGCGGAGUGGAUAACCGCUGAAAGCAUCUAAGUGGGAAGCCCACCUCAAGAUGAGUAUUGCCAUGGCUUAAGCCAGUAAGGUCACGGGAAGAACACCCGUUGAUAGGCUCUACGUGGAAGCUUGGUAACAAGUGCAGCGGAGGAGUACUAAUAGACCGAGGGCUUGACCA
rnacentral:rRNA from 1 species